AAAGUUUUGGUUGACGAGCAUAGCGCAAACAGAACUGUGAUAGCUAGCGCCCUCUUGUUUUGUUCAGGGCGGCCCUGACCCGGACGGCCUAGUUCCGCAAACCAAGCAAGCCGCCGACAAAAUCACCAACCAUAGCGUCCGCCCCGUGCCAAGUCGUCCGCUCAGCCACGACAGAGUGCCGCGAGGAAAUGGCCACUCCCCAACCCGCGGCCAGCGCCGACGGCUGCGCCACUGCUCCCGGCGCCGUGGACAGCCGCAGCGGCUACUGCAAGGAGACCAAGACGUUCUGCAGCCUGCGUCCGCCGGUGCCGCUGCCACCGGCAGGCAGCCCGCUCUCGUUCACAGCGUUCGCGUUCUCGCUCCUGCCGUCACCGCUCCCGGCACACCCAGCCCUCCUCGACGCCGCCACCGGUGAGACCCUGUCGUUUCCAGCGUUCCGGUCCCAGGUGCGCGCGCUAGCGGGGGGCCUGCGCUCACGGGUCGGGGUCCGCCGCGGCGACGUCGCGUUCGUGCUCGCGCCGGCGCGGCUGGACGUCCCGGUGCUCUACUUCGCCCUGCUUUCGUUCGGCGCCGUCGUGUCGCCGGCCAACCCGGCGCUCACCGCCGCCGAGGUCGCUCGCAUCGUCGCACUGUCGGACGCGUCUGUCGCCUUCGCCGUGUCGUCGACCGCUGCCAAGCUGCCGGCUGGCCUUCCUACCGUCCUCCUCGAUUCCGAUCACUUCCGCUCCUUCCUGCACAAUGAAGACCGCGGGGAGGUGCUGGCGCUGGAAACGGCGGUGGUGCACCAGUCGGAGACGGCCGCGAUCCAGUACUCGUCAGGCACAACUGGGCGAGUGAAGGCGGCGGCGCUGUCGCACCGGAACUUCACCGCGAUGGCGGCGGGGUCUCACGCUCUGGCCCAUAAGCCGAGGCAUGGUCGUGACAGGAUGCUCCUAGGUGCGCCAAUGUUCCACUCCCUUGGGUUCUACUAUGCGCUGAAGGGCAUCGCGCUGGGGCAGACGACGGUGCUGGUCACCGACACGGUGGCGCGGCGUGGCGUGAAAGGGGUGGUGGAGGCAGCGGAGAGGUGGGCGGUCAGCGAGAUGACGGCGUCGCCGCCGGUGGUGAUAGGGAUGGCGAAGGAGCGGUGCGACCUGGAGGCUCUGGAGCGGGUGGUAUGCGGUGGCGCGCCGCUGCCGACGACGGCAGCGGAGAUGUUCCGGCGACGAUUCCCCAACGUGGAUCUUUGCAUGGGCUACGGUUCAACUGAGGCCGGUGGCAUCUCACUGAUGAUCGACCGGGAAGAGUGUACCCGCAUCGGCUCCGCCGGCCGUGUUUCGGAGAACGUAGAGGUGAAGAUUGUGGAUCACAUAACUGGUAAGCCCCUGUCCGUCGGGCAGAGAGGGGAGCUAUUUGUGAGAGGGCCAACCGUCAUGACUGCUCAACGCUUGCAGGAUAUGUUGGCGACGACGAAGCGAACGCUAGCACUUUCGAUUCUGAAGGCUGGCUUAAGACUGGGGACCUUUGCUACGUCGAUCAGGACGGGUUCCUGUUCGUGGUGGAUAGGCUGAAAGAGCUCAUCAAGUACAAGGGCUACCAGGUUCCACCUGCCGAGCUGGAGCUUGUCCUGCAAACAUUGCCAGAAGUUGUCGAAGCUGCAGUCAUGCCGUAUCCUCAUGAGGAGGCAGGGCAGAUACCGAUAGCGCUUGUUGUGAGGAAACCUGGAAGCAAGGUCACCGAGGCUCAAGUCGUGGACCAUGUCGCGAAGCGGGUAGCUUCGUAUAAGAAGAUCCGCAAGGUGCUGUUUGUCGACUCCAUACCCAAAUCGCCAGCUGGGAAGAUACUGAGAAGGCAGUUGACGAAAUAUGUGCAGUUCGGUGCUGUCUCUAGGUUGUGAAACUUUUUACUUGUGUGUGUGUAUGUGUGCAUAAAAGAGAGAGAUGCGGCACACUUUGUGUAAAGAUAAAAUAGUGCGAUUAAAAUACGUCGCAUGGCGAAAAAUUCUAUCUACAGACAAGGUAGGACAGGAUCAAGGGCAUGUCCAGCGGUACAUGCCAGAUGUGAUACAUAAAUUUUACGGUAAUGCUUCGCAGCGGGACAAUCGACUGGGACUGCCGAUCUAGAGCACUAUCAUGUCACCACCGUCUCGAUCGAGCUCGAUAGCCUUCAUUUCCACCACCGCAAGCCGUGAUGAGUACAUCAGUUUUGUUUGCUCCUCUUCUGAUUGUUAGUGCAACUACCGUAACCAUCCCAACUGGUACUUUUUUGAGUUGUAGCUCGUGAGGUGUUGCAAUACUUUGUUUUUUAUGUUGCAAUAAGUGUGAAUUGGGAAAUUGUUGAACAUGGUCUUGUUACUCAGGUCAUGGUUGGUGUUGAGCCUU